UGUUGUAAUAACACAUGAGAUGGGGUUGUUGUGGUAAAAGAUUGUUUUGCGUCACUUCGGCAAGUCAGUACGCGAGUUUGAUGCGAGAGUCGAGCGGAGGCGGAGCCCACCGCCGACCCAGCGCGAGCUAUUCAGAGCGAGGGGGUCUAUUGUGAGCGAGAUUUGGGAAAAGCGAGGAACCCCGUGUCCUCGGAGCUGCAUACAGCCCGGCUCGUCCCGCCGGGGAACCCGGAGCGUGCCAAGGCGAGAUUAGAGGAGCGGGACGGACGCUGAUCGAUGACGGCCGACAGCUCGCGCUGCCCUCGCCACGCACGCGCUCCCGCCUUGCGAGCGUGUAUGAAACGGGCGGCGCGCACCUGUGCGUAUUUCUGCGGACCAUAUCGGAAUGGAAUUUAGUGUAAAGGGGCUGUGUGCUGAGAAGCACUAAAGCAGGACAUUUCAAAUGUCUCACAGAGCAACAGGUAUUUCAUUGUAUCCCGGUCCCAUUGUGGACAAGCGCUGUCUGGCUAGCCCAGCAAACUCAUCAAUAAUGGUGGCCCACUUCCGCAGCCUCCCACUGUCCCUGGCUGACCGCUGGCAGGUUGCCACAGUUGUGAGUCUAUGCCAAGUCCACCAGAACUCUUCUUCACAGCCCUGACUCCAUGAAUGAGGUGGCCGAGCCCUUCGGAGCACUGUGGAUCACAGCAAUACACCUAUAGUGCUAGGGCCUUAAUCACAGAACCCUCCAGUAAAGAGAAAUGUAAGUUUUACUCAAGCAGUUAUUAGCAUUCUUUUAUAAGAAAGUAUUUCUUUUUACCCAGUUGAUAACUAUCCUUUCCUAUUAAGGAUCUGUACAAAAAUUGUCUGUUCAAAAAUUGUUUUUGUAUGUAAAAGUUUCAAGCGGGACUUCUCAAUCCUA